rnacentral:tRNA from 1 species
GGAGAGGUGGCUGAGUGGUUGAAGGCGCUCGCCUGGAGAGCGAGUAGACGGGUCAAUCCCUGUCUCGCGGGUUCAAAUCCCGCCCUCUCCG